rnacentral:lncRNA from 1 species
UUUUAUUAUCUAUCUAAGAGCACCUCACACUGCUGGCUGCCAUACCUCAUAGCAGGCUUCUCGGAAAAUGUCCUGGUUUUGCUGCCAGCCCUCCACAACACCCAGCGACAUAUUGCUCCUACUGUGCAGUGUGCUGUGUUCCCACCAUGCACGGAAGUAUUUUUUCAUGCUGAGUGCAGAUGCAGAGCUGAGAAACUCAGAACGGUCUCAAGGGCUAAGGAGUACUACGGUGUCAGCCUGAGAACAGAAGAUUCUUCUGUGAUGUACACUAUCUCAAAUUUGCAUCUAGAAGCAGUUCAAAACAAGGAGAUGAAUUUAGCAAGUGCUCUUGGCAAUGGCACAGUGGCAUUUCUAGAUGGCAGCCAGACCACCUGUCCUGGCUGAGCUCCAUCGUGAUCCAGCACCAGGAAACAAUGAAUACUCCAUGACUCCCCUCUGGCAGUAGAAACCAAGAUUAUAAAGCAAGGAAGAGAUGCACACUCACCUAUCUUUCCUCUGCUAACACAGAAACAUAAUACAGUUUAUACUGGAACACAAGAAAGCAAAGUAGGUGUACGUAGUGGUUUCUCCACAUGCCAUUCCUCUGAGUGGCGUUCCAUGUCUUGGACUAUAAACACUUUGGUGAACAGAGUAUCCUGCUGUUAGCGUCCAGCACUAGCACAAAAAAGCUUCUAACUGUUCUCACUUUCCUGAUCAAACCUUCCCAAGUACACUCAAGAAUAUAAUAAACUGGUCAAGAACCACCUCGUUUCUAGAGCC